GGUCCCCUAGUCUAAAGGUUAGGACACAGCCCUUUCAAGGCUGGGAUGCUCGGUUCAAGUCCGGCGGGGAUCA
rnacentral:tRNA from 1 species